GCUUAACACAUGCAAGUCGAGGGGCAGCAUGGUCUUAGCUUGCUAAGGCCGAUGGCGACCGGCGCACGGGUGAGUAACACGUAUCCAACCUGCCGUCUACUCUUGGACAGCCUUCUGAAAGGAAGAUUAAUACAAGAUGGCAUCAUGAGUCCGCAUGUUCACAUGAUUAAAGGUAUUCCGGUAGACGAUGGGGGUGCGUUCCAUUAGAUAGUAGGCGGGGUAACGGCCCACCUAGUCUUCGAUGGAUAGGGGUUCUGAGAGGAAGGUCCCCCACAUUGGAACUGAGACACGGUCCAAACUCCUACGGGAGGCAGCAGUGAGGAAUAUUGGUCAAUGGGCGCAGGCCUGAACCAGCCAAGUAGCGUGAAGGAUGACUGCCCUAUGGGUUGUAAACUUCUUUUAUAAAGGAAUAAAGUCGGGUAUGGAUACCCGUUUGCAUGUACUUUAUGAAUAAGGAUCGGCUAACUCCGUGCCAGCAGCCGCGGUAAUACGGAGGAUCCGAGCGUUAUCCGGAUUUAUUGGGUUUAAAGGGAGCGUAGAUGGAUGUUUAAGUCAGUUGUGAAAGUUUGCGGCUCAACCGUAAAAUUGCAGUUGAUACUGGAUAUCUUGAGUGCAGUUGAGGCAGGCGGAAUUCGUGGUGUAGCGGUGAAAUGCUUAGAUAUCACGAAGAACUCCGAUUGCGAAGGCAGCCUGCUAAGCUGCAACUGACAUUGAGGCUCGAAAGUGUGGGUAUCAAACAGGAUUAGAUACCCUGGUAGUCCACACGGUAAACGAUGAAUACUCGCUGUUUGCGAUAUACGGCAAGCGGCCAAGCGAAAGCGUUAAGUAUUCCACCUGGGGAGUACGCCGGCAACGGUGAAACUCAAAGGAAUUGACGGGGGCCCGCACAAGCGGAGGAACAUGUGGUUUAAUUCGAUGAUACGCGAGGAACCUUACCCGGGCUUAAAUUGCAGAUGAAUUACGGUGAAAGCCGUAAGCCGCAAGGCAUCUGUGAAGGUGCUGCAUGGUUGUCGUCAGCUCGUGCCGUGAGGUGUCGGCUUAAGUGCCAUAACGAGCGCAACCCUUGUUGUCAGUUACUAACAGGUUCCGCUGAGGACUCUGACAAGACUGCCAUCGUAAGAUGUGAGGAAGGUGGGGAUGACGUCAAAUCAGCACGGCCCUUACGUCCGGGGCUACACACGUGUUACAAUGGGGGGUACAGAGGGCCGCUACCACGCGAGUGGAUGCCAAUCCCAAAAACCUCUCUCAGUUCGGACUGGAGUCUGCAACCCGACUCCACGAAGCUGGAUUCGCUAGUAAUCGCGCAUCAGCCACGGCGCGGUGAAUACGUUCCCGGGCCUUGUACACACCGCCCGUCAAGCCAUGGGAGCCGGGGGUACCUGAAGUGCGUAACCGCGAGGAGCGCCCUAGGGUAAAACUGGUGACUGGGGCUAAG
rnacentral:rRNA from 1 species